GCGCUCGCUUCAGCAGCGCAUAUACUAAAAUUGGAAUGAUACAGAGAAGAUUAACAUGGCCCCUGCGCAAGGAUGACACGCAAAUUCGUGAAGCGUUCCAUAAGUUU
ensembl:snRNA U6 U6 spliceosomal RNA